GGACGAACGCUGGCGGCGUGCUUAACACAUGCAAGUCGAACGGAAAGGCCCUGCUUUUGUGGGGUGCUCGAGUGGCGAACGGGUGAGUAACACGUGAGUAACCUGCCCUUGACUUUGGGAUAACUUCAGGAAACUGGGGCUAAUACCGGAUAGGAGCUCCUGCUGCAUGGUGGGGGUUGGAAAGUUUCGGCGGUUGGGGAUGGACUCGCGGCUUAUCAGCUUGUUGGUGGGGGAGUGGCUUACCAAGGCUUUGACGGGUAGCCGGCCUGAGAGGGUGACCGGCCACAUUGGGACUGAGAUACGGCCCAGACUCCUACGGGAGGCAGCAGUGGGGAAUAUUGCACAAUGGGCGGAAGCCUGAUGCAGCAACGCCGCGUGCGGGAUGACGGCCUUCGGGUUGUAAACCGCUUUCGCCUGUGACGAAGCGUGAGUGACGGUAAUGGGUAAAGAAGCACCGGCUAACUACGUG
rnacentral:rRNA from 1 species